UACCUGUGGCCCCGGUGGGGGAUCUACUG
rnacentral:piRNA from 1 species